rnacentral:rRNA from 1 species
CCUACGGGAGGCAGCAGUGGGGAAUAUUGCGCAAUGGUCGCAAGCCUGACCCAGCAACGCCGCGUGAAGGAAGAAGGCUUUCGGGUUGUAAACUUCUUUUCUCAGGGACGAAGAAAGUGACGGUACCUGAGGAAUAAGCCACGGCUAACUACGUGCAAGCCGCCGCGGUAAUACGUAGGGGGCAAGCGUUAUACGGGUGGAUUGGGUGUAAAGGGCGUGGAGGCGGGGGCGCAAGUCAGAGGAGAAAACGUAGGGCUCAAGUCUGAGGCUGCAGGGGAAAAGGUGUUUCUUGAGUAUUGGAGAGGCAAUAGGAAGUGCGGGGGGAGCGGUGAAAUGCGUAGAUAUACGGAGGAACACCAGUGGCGAAGGCGGAUUGCUGGACAGUAACUGACGCUGAGGCGCGAAAGCGUGGGGAGCAAACAGGAUUAGAUACCCGAGUAGUC